rnacentral:rRNA from 1 species
CAAUAGCGUAUAUUAAAGUUGUUGCGGUAAAAAAGCUCGUAGUUGGAUUUCUGUUGAGAGCGACCGGUCCAUACCAUGUAUGCGUAUCUGGCUUGCUCUCGGCAUCCUCUCGAUAGACGUUACUGCGCUUGAUUGCGUGGUGCGGAUUUCGGGACUUUUACUUUGAGGAAAUUAGAGUGUUCACGGCAGGCUUUCGCCAGAAUACAUUAGCAUGGAAUAAUACUAUAGGAUCUUGGUUCUAUUUUGUUGGUUUCUAGAAUUGAGAUAAUGAUUAAUAGGGACAAUUGGGGGCAUUCGUAUCAACACGUCAGAGGUGGAAUUCUUGGAUUGUGUUGCGACGAACUACUGCGAAAGCAUUUGCCAAGGAUGUUUUCAUUGA